rnacentral:rRNA from 1 species
CCCUUAGAUGUUCUGGGCCGCACGCGCGCUACACUGAUUCAUGCAACGAGUGUUAUUUCCUUGGCUGAAAGGCCUGGGUAAUCUUUGAACGUGAAUCGUGCUGGGGAUAGAUGAUUGCAAUUAUUCAUCUUCAACGAGGAAUUCCUAGUAAACGCAAGUCAUCAGCUUGCAUUGAUUACGUCCCUGCCCUUUGUACACACCGCCCGUCGCACCUACCGAUUGAAUGACCCGGUGAAAUCUUCGGAUCGUCGUAUUGCCCGAUUCAUUUCGGGCGAUGUGACGCAAAGUUGAUUAAACCUUGCCAUUUAGAGGAAGGUGAANUCGUANCA